AGAGAGAUGUAUUUUUGGAACCUCUUUUGGAUUGUUAAGAUGCUUUGGAGACAAAGAACCGCCCAGCCCGAGGCCUGUUGCUCCGGUAUAUGAGUCACAACAGAGACGCCACAGACACUAACUUCCCUGUUGAAGACUCACUAACAGACUAACUGCUGCUGAGGUUAGCCGAGAACAUGAAAGCUCAGGUCGUGUUCCUGCUCUUGGUUUUGGCGGUCGGCCUUCAAGCGCAGAUGACAGCUUUUCUCCACGGGGACCAGAAAGUUGUUCCAGAGGAAGAGGCCUUAGAGGAAAUGAUGGGGAACAGGGAGACCCGCUCAAGGCCAGAAACAAGGAAACCUGUGAGGACGUGAAAGGUCGGACGGCAGAGAUCGUAUUGUUUCACUUUAUAAACGUCAUGCAAGCCGGUUGUUCAGACAUGUUUCUUUGUGCUGAUAUCGUGUGUGACGGUAGAACUUACUCCCCUCAAUGUUAACCAUGACAGACUGCAGAUGUACACCAGGCUGCACUUUCUUUUUAACACCAUUGCACGAUGUUAGACACAGUCAGGUGGCUCCCUCUUGAUUUAAGGUCAGUUUCACUGACAUCACUUUACCUUUAAAUGCAAACUAUCCUUAUAGUCUCAAACAACUUGUUGCUGAGCUCACUAUGAUAGCAAUACAUUACUUUUAAAUAUUCGUUCUCUGUCAUUUUGCUUAUUUAAAAAAGGUUUUCUCACCUUGGAACAAAUGUCAGUAAAGUUCCUCUGCUUAUUUAGAAAGUGAUUAUUGUUCAUUAGCUUGAGUCAAACCUCAGGGUGUGCUCUUGUUUCCUCCCGUAGUUAUUUCGUUUCUUGGUUAUUUGUUUUGUCAUUGUUGUGACGUGCAGAACAUUGUGUCUCGUACGGUUUCAUUUUCUAUUUGUGUUUUGGAGUACUUAAAGUACUUAAAGUACUUAAAGUACUUAAAAUAAAAGUACUCGAUGAGAGAAAUGGCCUUCUCUGAUAUAAUAGCCUUGUGUAUUACUGUUUUUGGAGAUUAACUGCACCGCAACAGAAAACAUAUAUAUAAAAAUAUAUAGAAAUACAAUACAAGACACAUUUGAAAAGAAAAAUGAAUCAAUUAAAUGAAAAUAUGCACAGGUUCUGUUAAAAGUGUUGCUCUUUAUUUUAGACAUAU